CUCCCAACAGCACCACAGGAGGAGAACCAACCCUUUACCACAUGUGCCUUUGGGGGACAAUCAAGAUCCAAGAAGUUCCAGCAGGCUUUGCUGAACAAAUCAAACUCUGUCGUUCACGUUGGUCACAUUGCCUGUGCCAGCAAGAGGCUGAACUGCAGCAAGAGGGACGCCUUCGUACUUUGGAAAGCAAGGCUUGACAGCUGGAGGCUGCCUGUCGCGUGGGUGAGCGAACACGCAGCACCACCCUGGGAAGAGGAGCUGUUGGGGAUUCUCUAAAUGUGCGUGGACCGGUGAAGGAUAUCAUUGAGUUGGUGGAAGGACAGGGCAAUUAAUGGUGUGCACAAACCUGUGUGAUUUUGGUGUGGAGAACCAUUGAAAUGGACUGCAUCAACUGUCCUCAUUCAACACCCAAGCAAACCCAGAAAAGAAAAUGGAUUUCCUGAAUGUCACACAGCCAGCCAGUGGCAGUUCUGAUGCUACAGAGUCCCAUGAACUGAACCUUGGUUCAGCAUUUGAGGUAGGUAAGGAAAGCAGAAGGUGAAAAAGUUUCUGAUUUCAGUUGCAUGGCAUUUCGGACCUCAGCAGAAGUGGAGGAGAACAUAUUCUGGCACUGGAGCCUGAAGAAGAGUUGUCAGUCUCUACUGGCUUACAGAAGGCCCUCCUUCCAGUCCUGAGACUCAGCAGAAGAUAAGCCCGCAGGAAGGAUGCUGGGGUGGGGAGCAGGAGGUGCCACAGAGGGUGCAUGAGGGUGGAGGAGGGAAAGAGCUUGUGGGAUGCCAGCCAGCCUCUCCUGGCCCCUCUCCCCAGCUCAGCAAAAUUUGAGCCUCUCGUCUCGGCCCUACCUCCUCUCUCUCUUCGAAACCCCUGCAACUCUGAGCUCCUGUUCUGCAAGUGCAUAUCUUCCCAGAUCCCAAACAAGGGGUGGGGGGCCAGCACCCUGUUUUCCACUCUCUAGAUACUCUGUGGCCUUGAUUGAACUAGACUUCCAUGAGGAUCUGCGUGGCUCUCAAGCCUUUCAGCCAAUCUAUGGCUAAAAGACACGAGCUCCGAGUAGACUAUUACCCAGGAUUGCGAAGGGGGAAAUCACACUGCAUUAUUCAGUGUCAGCUGGAGGGGUGGAGGGAAAGGUUAAAGCCAUUGCCUAGCUCAUUCCUUCAAAAUAAAAUCCAAAAUGUUGACGUGAAACAUAUGGCUGUUCUUGGGGCGAAUCUUAGCCUGGUUUCCCGUGGCGAUCCUACGACAGCAUCCUCUGCCUUCAGAGGCUGGCCCUUCCCUUGACUCCUGGCCUGUGUCCCAGCAGGAAGGACAGACAGCCCAUCCUUCUUUCAACACGGGAUGGCUUGCAGAGCCUAAAGCCGUGGGUGUGAGUGCAAGGGCGGGCUGUGACCUUUCAACUCACUCCUUUGAUUUCAUUUUUCAAAAAGCUAAUUAGAGUUCAGAGAAGUUUUAUGCCCUUUGUUUUUCUAACCUAGAGAAUCUGACUCAGGGACUUUUGUGGACUGCAAUGUCCCAAACUGGCCAACACUGGACAAAACCUUUAAUGCCCAGGGCUGAGUCACAGUGUAGCAUCUCCUCGGCCUGGUUUGCCCCAAGCAGAAUGUUCUCUCUGUUCUCCAAACAACAAAGCCUGCUGCCAGGCAGCCCCCGGCCAGAAAGCCCGCCCCAGCCAACUUCCCUUUCACCUCUCCAUGGU